AGAGGGGUGUCCGAGUGGUUUAUGGUGCGAUCUUGGAAGGGUCGUGUGGGGGCAACUCCACCGUGAGUUCGAAUCUCAUCCCCUCUG
rnacentral:tRNA from 1 species